rnacentral:lncRNA from 1 species
UACCUCCCUCUCAGCUGGCCUUGAGGGGAGAAGGCAGGGGUGGUAAUGAGAGCCGAUUUUUUCUAAGAACUGAAAUAUGAAGCCAAUUACUAAGGGGAAGAUUUCCAGCAAAUUGGCUCCUGAUAGCUCACAUUUAUCUGCUUUAGAUUUGCAUAGUCGGGGAGGAGAGGCGCUCUGCUUUGGCCCAGGGAACAAAGAGAGAAUCCCUUCAGCAGGAGGUGAAUAACUUCUUCAACCUACCUCCAACCCCAAGGUCUAGAGUUCAGCAAUGAAAGGCAGUGAGGAACAAAUCACACCAACUGUUUCAACGGCAGGAGAGGAAAAGGAAAGGGGGAAAAAAAAGUCGUUUUGCCUUUAGCUGACAGAGAUGUGAAUGCUGGGAGAGGCCUGUGGGUGGGGCUACACAGAGAAAGAGAGCCCCAAAACAAGAGAGUCUUCACUGGAGAGGAAGCGUUGAGAACAAAGAGAAGUAGGAACCGUGUGACCCAUUCCACUGGCCGUCAUUUUACACCUAACUACUCGCUUCUAGUUCUUAGCUGGGGCAACAGAGCCCCAGAACAAAAGACAGAUUCACAAGAGAAAAACAAAGCUUAAUAAGAAGGAUAUCCCACAUACACAAGAGAAAAGCCCAGGAGGGAAAAUGCAUCAAUUUCAGAGGUCCCUUUGAGUUCAGGCUUAAAUACAGUCCUGCUCCAGCCACGGAAUGACAUUUCAGUUACAAAUGGACAACAUAUCUUAAGGUGGUCCCUUAAGAUUAUUGCAAGACCAGAAAGUUCUUACCACCUAGCCAUCGUCAUGUUGUGGCCUCACCUACAUGGUAGUGCUGCUGCUGGUGUAAACAACCCUACUGAGCUUCCAGUCCUAUCAAAGUAUGGCACACACAAUUGAGCACAGUACAUGGUAGACGAUGAUAACAAGGGAGUAUGUUACUGGGUCAUGUGUUUACUAUACUAUGCUUUUAUCAGCACCGCAGAGUGUACUCCUACUUAUUAAAAGAAUU